UACGUAGGCGGAAAAUUAAGUCAGUAGUGAAAUCCUGCAGCUUAACUGUAGAACUGUUAUUGAUACUGGUUUUCUUGAAUAUAGUUGAGGUAGGCGGAAUGUGUAAUGUAGCGGUGAAAUGCUUAGAUAUUACACAGAACACCGAUUGCGAAGGCAGCUUACUAAGCUAUGAUUGACGCUGAGGUACGAAAGCAUGGGGAGCGAACAGGAUUAGAUACCCUGGUAGUC
rnacentral:rRNA from 1 species